GGAUGUCAGGGCGAUCUGGCUGCGACAUCUGUCACCGCAUUGAUCGCCAGGGUUGAUUCGGCUGAUCUGGCUGGCUAGGCGGGUGUCCCCUUCUUCCCUCACCGCUCCAUGUGUGUCCCCCCCGAAGCUGUGCGCUUGGUCGAAGAGGACCACCUUCUCCGAUAGAGGAGGACCGUUCUUUGGUCAAGGGUAUACGAGUAGCUGCACUCCCCUGCUAGAACCUCCAAACAAGCUCUCAAAACUCUGCGUAGGCUCAGACAAUUGGCCAACCAUCAUGGACCGAGGAAGGGAGGGGCCUCACCAAAUGCUU
rnacentral:snRNA from 1 species